rnacentral:rRNA from 1 species
UACGUAGGGGGCAAGCGUUGUCCGGAAUCACUGGGCGUAAAGCGCGCGCAGGCGGUCAUCUACGUCUGGGGUGAAAGCCCGGAGCUCAACUCCGGGAUUGCCUUGGAUACGGGAUGACUUGAGGAUCGGAGAGGCAAGGGGAAUUCCACGUGUAGCGGUGAAAUGCGUAGAGAUGUGGAGGAACACCUGUGGCGAAGGCGGCUCACUGGACCAUAACUGACGCUGAUGCACGAAAGCUAGGGGAGCAAACAGG